GACGAACGCUGGCGGCGUGCUUAACACAUGCAAGUCGAACGGAAAGGCCCUGCUUUUGUGGGGUGCUCGAGUGGCGAACGGGUGAGUAACACGUGAGUAACCUGCCCUUGACUUUGGGAUAACUUCAGGAAACUGGGGCUAAUACCGGAUAGGAGCUCCUGCUGCAUGGUGGGGGUUGGAAAGUUUCGGCGGUUGGGGAUGGACUCGCGGCUUAUCAGCUUGUUGGUGGGGUAGUGGUUUACCAAGGCUUUGACGAGUAGCCGGCCUGAGAGGGUGACCGGCCACAUUGGGACUGAGAUACGGCCCAGACUCCUACGGGAGGCAGCAGUGGGGAAUAUUGCACAAUGGGCGGAAGCCUGAUGCAGCAACGCCGCGUGCGGGAUGACGGCCUUCGGGUUGUAAACCGCUUUCGCCUGUGACGAAGCGUGAGUGACGGUAAUGGGUAAAGAAGCACCGGCUAACUACGUG
rnacentral:rRNA from 1 species